UACGUAGAGGGCAAGCGUUGUCCGGAAUCAUUGGGCGUAAAGCGCGUGUAGGCGGCCAGAAAAGUCCGCUGUGAAAACUCGAGGCUCAACUUCGAGCUGUCGGUGGAAACUUUCUGGCUAGAGUCCGGAAGAGGAGAAUGGAAUUCCUGGUGUAGCGGUGAAAUGCGCAGAUAUCAGGAAGAACACCCGUGGCGAAGGCGGUUCUCUGGGACGGUACUGACGCUGAGACGCGAAAGCGUGGGGAGCGAACAGG
rnacentral:rRNA from 1 species